rnacentral:rRNA from 2 species
GUAAGGAAUAUUGGUCAAUGGACGGAAGUCUGAACCAGCCAUGCCGCGUGCAGGAUGACUGCCCUAUGGGUUGUAAACUGCUUUUGUCGAGGAAUAAACCUAUCUACGUGUAGAUAGCUGAAUGUACUCGAAGAAUAAGGAUCGGCUAACUCCGUGCCAGCAGCCGCGGUAAUACGGAGGAUCCGAGCGUUAUCCGGAUUUAUUGGGUUUAAAGGGUGCGUAGGCGGCACUUUAAGUCAGGGGUGAAAGACGGCAGCUUAACUGUCGCAGUGCCUUUGAUACUGAAGUGCUUGAAUGCGGUUGAAGACGGCGGAAUGAGACAAGUAGCGGUGAAAUGCAUAGAUAUGUCUCAGAACACCGAUUGCGAAGGCAGCUGUCUAAGCCGUUAUUGACGCUGAUGCACGAAAGCGUGGGGAUCGAACAGGAUUAGAAACCCUAGUAGUCC